UGUAAACCCAGUGCAGUUUCCACCACACCAUGUGGGCAGAGGAGUUUGUUUCUGGAAAUAAGUAUAAGGUAUAGUGGCAACCUCUAGAUGGUGCAAACUAAAUUUCCCAGAACAAAAAUAUCUGUUUAAAUUACAUUGAAUGAAUGUUCUGCUUGAUUCCUUAAAGAAGUGGCAUAGAAUUUUUAUCUCUACUUAUCUCUGUUGUAUAUAUCGUGUGCAGCUUUUAACAGCUUUUUCAGGCUCAUCCUGGUAGAAGAAAAGGCUGAAAAUGAUAUCUCCAAUUUAUUACUGCAUUUGUCUGGGGGCACUUUUCUGAUUGAAAUGACACUAAAUCCACUGGGAAGUAGAAGCUGUGGGCUUCACGAGGAUGCAACCCACACAGCUGUGAUCAAACCUUUGAUCUGUUACCACGACUGUCAAAAUAAACUGAUAUGAAAUAUGAAAAAAAGAGAGUUCUUAUUUUUAACUGCCAGAU
rnacentral:lncRNA from 1 species